GUAGGUGGCAAGCGUUGUCCGGAAUUAUUGGGCGCAAAGCGCGCGCAGGCGGUCCUUUAAGUCUGAUGUGAAAGCCCACGGCUCAACCGUGGAGGGUCAUUGGAAACUGGGGGACUUGAGUACAGAAGAGGAAAGCGGAAUUCCAAGUGUAGCGGUGAAAUGCGUAGAGAUUUGGAGGAACACCAGUGGCGAAGGCGGCUUUCUGGUCUGUAACUGACGCUGAGGCGCGAAAGCGUGGGGAGCAAACAGGGAUUAGAUACCCUGGUAGUCCACGCCGUAAACGAUGAGUGCUAAGUGUUAGGGGUUUCCCGCCCCUUAGUGCUGCAGCUAACGCAUUAAGCACUCCGCCUGGGGAUACGGCCGCAAGGCUG
rnacentral:rRNA from 1 species